AGACCCGAAACCCGGUGAUCUAGCCAUGGGCAGGUUGAAGGUUGGGUAACACUAACUGGAGGACCGAACCGACUAAUGUUGAAAAAUUAGCGGAUGACCUGUGGCUGGGGGUGAAAGGCCAAUCAAACCGGGAGAUAGCUGGUUCUCCCCGAAAGCUAUUUAGGUAGCGCCUCGUGAAUUCAUCUCCGGGGGUAGAGCACUGUUUCGGCUAGGGGGCCAUCCCGGCUUACCAACCCGAUGCAAACUGCGAAUACCGGAGAAUGUUAUCACGGGAGACACACGGCGGGUGCUAACGUCCGUCGUGAAGAGGGAAACAACCCAGACCGCCAGCUAAGGUCCCAAAGUCAUGGUUAAGUGGGAAACGAUGUGGGAAGGCCCAGACAGCCAGGAUGUUGGCUUAGAAGCAGCCAUCAUUUAAAGAAAGCGUAAUAGCUCACUGGUCGAGUCGGCCUGCGCGGAAGAUGUAACGGGGCUAAACCAUGCACCGAAGCUGCGGCAGCGAACGUAUCACUUAAAGCGAUUCAGCGGGUUACGAUUGACGGAGCGAAGCGACGUCAAAGCGUAUACAAAGUCGAGUCGGUUUAAGGAUACGUUCGUUGGGUAGGGGAGCGUUCUGUAAGCCUGUGAAGGUGUGUCGUGAGGCAUGCUGGAGGUAUCAGAAGUGCGAAUGCUGACAUAAGUAACGAUAAAGCGGGUGAAAAGCCCGCUCGCCGGAAGACCAAGGGUUCCUGUCCAACGUUAAUCGGGGCAGGGUGAGUCGACCCCUAAGGCGAGGCCGAAAGGCGUAGUCGAUGGGAAACGGGUUAAUAUUCCCGUACUUGGUGUUACUGCGAAGGGGGGACGGAGAAGGCUAUGUUGGCCGGGCGACGGUUGUCCCGGUUUAAGCGUGUAGGUGUGUGUUCCAGGUAAAUCCGGUUCACUUUAACACUGAGGCGUGACGACGAGGCACUACGGUGCUGAAGCAACAAAUGCCCUGCUUCCAGGAAAAGCCUCUAAGCAUCAGGUAACAUCAAAUCGUACCCCAAACCGACACAGGUGGUCAGGUAGAGAAUACCAAGGCGCUUGAGAGAACUCGGGUGAAGGAACUAGGCAAAAUGGUGCCGUAACUUCGGGAGAAGGCACGCUGACACGUAGGUGAAGUGAUUUACUCAUGGAGCUGAAGUCAGUCGAAGAUACCAGCUGGCUGCAACUGUUUAUUAAAAACACAGCACUGUGCAAACACGAAAGUGGACGUAUACGGUGUGACGCCUGCCCGGUGCCGGAAGGUUAAUUGAUGGGGUCAGCGCAAGCGAAGCUCCUGAUCGAAGCCCCGGUAAACGGCGGCCGUAACUAUAACGGUCCUAAGGUAGCGAAAUUCCUUGUCGGGUAAGUUCCGACCUGCACGAAUGGCGUAAUGAUGGCCAGGCUGUCUCCACCCGAGACUCAGUGAAAUUGAACUCGCUGUGAAGAUGCAGUGUACCCGCGGCAAGACGGAAAGACCCCGUGAACCUUUACUAUAGCUUGACACUGAACAUUGAGCCUUGAUGUGUAG
rnacentral:rRNA from 2 species